rnacentral:lncRNA from 1 species
CAGUCCACGGGGGUGCAGGCCUGGUCUUUCUAGGUCCGAUGUUCCCCCUUCAUCACCGUAUCACAGGAGUUCAGUCGCCAAUCCAUGAACCCACCCGACUUCUCGGAGUAGGCGCUUCUCAGGACAUCAGUGCUAGGCCGACCCCUGGACCCUCCUCCUCCUCGGUCAGCUCCAGCUGAGCUCUUCACCCUCAUUACGCCCGGUCCUGCCCAGCUCACCUGGACAGCCGGCUCCACUGUCCUGCUCUCCACCCGCAGCGGAACCUAUCACAGGCCUCAGGUAAGCAUGACUGCGCGUCCAUCCCCCAACGACCUAAGUUCCCCAAGGGCAGGAGGGGGGUCUGUUUUGGGUCCUGUUAUGUCCCUAGUGCUCAGUGCACAGACUGGCAUACAGUAGGUGCCCAGUAAAAGUCUGACAAACGAAUAAAUGAGGGGGUGAAUGAAGGUCACCGCGCACAGCAUUGGCUGCUGAUAACGCCAAGGUCACGGGUUUGUUCCCCGUAUGGGCCACCAAAUGCCGCAGUCUGGCUGGGCACAAUCAGGAGCCACUUGUCAAAAGAAACUAACUUUAUUUUUAGAACCACACACGCCAAACAAAACAGCCUCUCAGGAAAAACCCUCAGAGCCUCAACUGCCACCACCGGCNGACUAUCAGAAAAUAAAUUAAAUACAGAAUCUUUAAACAUCACAAAAGCUUGUAAAACUGCAUUAAGCUCUACCUUUUGAGCUGAUUGUUUGGGUACUAAAAAUGUAAAAGUUUGAUCAGGGGUAACUACUGCUGCUGUACCAUUAUUUGACCCAUCAGUGAAUAUAUUUGGAGCAUUCAUGAUAGGUGUUUUUCUUGUCAUUUUUGGAAAAAUUGGGGGACGUCUGAUGACCCACUGGCUCUCACAACAAAAUCUCCAAAGGGCACAUCAUGGAGUCCCCUGUGCAGAUGGGGAGACAAGACCCAAACAUGGGAGCAACUUGCCCCGCUGGACAGACCCAGCAGCCGUCACAGAGCUGAGUCCCUACCAGAGGAGUCCCCAGGGGGAGGAGGCUCCUGCGCAGGGCUGUAGAGGGUGGGGGUGGGGGUCAAGGGUCAGAGGAGGCCUUCCACGCAGCAGGCAGGGCCGGAGCCAGGGUGAGGCCUGUGGCCAAGCCCUUGCCCAGGACGGUACCAUGCUGCGACGUGGAAGGGUCCCAACAGCUCGACGCCCUCACCAGCGCUCGGCAUUGCCGGGUCUUAAGUUUUACUUUAGCCAUUCAGAUACACGCGUGUGAUGUCGCGCUGUGGAUCCUCCUCCCUGCUGGGGACACACUGCCCCUCUCCUGGGAGUUCCCUCUGCUCCCUUGGCUCACCUGGUCACCUUACCUGGCUCGCUCCUCCCUCGUGAGUCUCGAGUUAGCUGUGGUCUCACUCUGUCGACGGCCUCUUUCACAGGGCGGAAUUCCUGAUCUUGACAGAGCCUGGUACAUCACGUUCUUCUUUCACGGGCUGAGACUUUUCCCCUGUAACGUUCCGUGGUUUGUCUGUCUUUAGGUCUGCGAUCCAUUUCCAGGUGGCCGUCGGUGUGAGGCGAGGCUGUGCGUGGCUGGCCAGGCCUGCGAGUUGAAGCCCUCCGCCCUCCUUGAUUCACUGGCCACUGCAGGGGCAUAUGCUGGCCGUGCCUGUUCCCGACUCGGUUCUGUCCAUCCUUUGGUCCCUGCCACGUUGUCUAGAUUAAGAGCUGACGGAAGGCAGACAGGAAGCCUCCUGGGCAGGCCACAGCCGCUGGGCCGCUCUCCCACUGGGCCCUGAAAGCUGCCGGCUGUGGAGGGCAAGUGAGCGGCCACACUGCGUCCCAGUGACACUGUGCUCACAGAGACAGGCAGGGACCACGUUUGCAGGCCCCCGCUGACCCUGCCCCGGCAUGCACAGGGGCCAGGCUCUUGGUCUGCGUUACUGGGGGUCAGUAUGGAAUAAGGGAGGGUGACUCUUCCCAUUUUGUUCUUUUUUCUGGUUCUGGGGUGGAACCCAAGCCCAACACGUGCUGAGCGAGCGCUCUCCGCGGAGCUGAGCCUUUAAUCAGAGUUGCAUUGAAUUCAUGGGUCAGUUUGGGGAGAAGUUGACAGCUCAGCAUGUUGAUUCCCUCAACCUUGAACCCUGCAUCAGUCAGCUUUCUGUUACUGUAACAAGUACCUGAAAAAAAGCAGCUCAUAAAGAGAAAAGGUUUAUUUUCA